AACGAACGCUGGCGGCAGGCUUAACACAUGCAAGUCGAGCGCCCCGCAAGGGGAGCGGCAGACGGGUGAGUAACGCGUGGGAAUCUACCGUACUCUACGGAAUAGCUCCGGGAAACUGGAAUUAAUACCGUACACGCCCUACGGGGGACAGAUUUAUCGGGGUAUGAUGAGCCCGCGGUGGAUUAGCUAGUUGGUGGGGUAAAGGCCUACCAAGGCGACGAGCCAUAGCUGGUCUGAGAGGAUGAUCAGCCACAUUGGGACUGAGGCACGGCCCAAACUCCUACGGGAGGCAGAAGUGGGGAAUAUUGGACAAUGGGCGCAAGCCUGAUCCAGCCAUGCCGCGUGAGUGAUGAAGGUCUUAGGAUUGUAAAGCUCUUUCACCGAUGAAGAUAAUGACGGUAGUCGGAGAAGAAGCCCCGGCUAACUUCGUGCCAGCCGCCGCAGUAAUAC
rnacentral:rRNA from 1 species